GCCUGUUUUCAUUUUUAGCCAUUUAGUUCUCAUGGCUCUGUUCCAGGACUCUUUAAUUUGCCAGUAGCUGUUUUUCCUACACAGAUUACAGGAGUAAUUCAUCAGUGAAUGUUUCACUCAGUGGUCCCAUCUAAUCAAUGAAGAAGAGAAGUUCAAUUAUAUCACCAAAGAGAAAAAUCAAACAAGAUCAAUGAGAAGUAGACAAUGAUCUAGAGCUGAGAAUUUCUUUUAAGGAUUCCAUCUUUCUUGUUUCCAGAUUAGUAAAAACAAGGAACAAUGUGUUUCC